UGGUAGCGCAUCUGGUUUGGGACCAGAGGGUCGGGGGUUCGAAUCCCUCUUCACCGACCA
rnacentral:tRNA from 1 species